AUAAUAAUUAGUCUUUUUAAUGAAGGCUGGAAUGAAUGAUUGGACGAGGUAAAUUCUGUCUCAUUUAAAUUAAAAUUUAAAUUUAAUUUUUAAGUUAAAAAGCUUAAAUAUAAUUAAAGGACGAGAAGACCCUAUAGAGCUUUAUAAUUUUUAAUUAUUAAAUUUUAAUUUUUUUUUAUUAAUUUUAUAAUUAUUUUGUUGGGGUGACAGGAAAAUUUAAUUAACUUUUUUAAUUUUAUUACAUAUAUUUAUGAAUUUUUGAUCUUAAUUUUUAGAUUAUUAGAUUAAGUUACCUUAGGGAUAACAGCGUUAUUUUUUUUUAGAGUUCAUAUUAAUAAAAAAGAUUGC
rnacentral:rRNA from 1 species